ensembl:snRNA U6 U6 spliceosomal RNA
GUGUUUGCUUGGGCAGUACAUAUGCUAAAACUGACACACUACAGAGAAGAUUAACAUGACUUCUGCAUAAGUGACUGAGCAUUAAGGAUUAAAAAGUAAUUUUC